AUAUAUAUAGUAUAAUUAAUUACAUUUAACUUCCAAUUAAAAAAUUUAUAAUUUAUAAUAUAUAUA
rnacentral:tRNA from 1 species